rnacentral:pre_miRNA from 1 species
CCACAGUGAGGCUUCUUACCAGUCGGGCUCGGGCUAUACUCCAGGGCUCAGUAGAUCCUGGGUAUAACCCGAGCCCGACUGUGCAUCUACCCAG